AUCGACAAGGCAUUCGUAACUAUGAAAAGCAUGAUACUCUUGCCAGGAAUCUACUUAACAAGAUCGUGACUAGCGACCUUCACUACUUACGAAUAUAAAUUCAUAACGAUUAGGUGAAACAAACUGAUAUCCUAGCAUCAAAUUCAAGCAUGCAAAUUAAGCGUGCACUCUCAACCAACAUACAAGAAUAAGUUCUAAAUCAAACGGUUAAGCAAAUUGUAUUCACGACUUAUACAACGAUAACUGAAAGUAAUCCACUUAUUUCACAUAUAUAAUCAUGGUUUUGAAUCCACCCUU
rnacentral:lncRNA from 1 species